ACCAGAUGCUGUGGAAGUCUGACUGCCUUCUGACUGUAUGAAAAAAGAUCUUAGAAAGAUCAGCCCAACAGGCGGCAAGAUGACCUCUGCAGUUGACAAGUGACCUCAGCAGAAUGGAUUUCCUUUCAACUGCGGAGGUGCUUCUUGUGGAGGUCUGCCAUUAUGUCUGCAUCCACAUCCCUCUGGAUU